rnacentral:misc_RNA from 1 species
AAGUCGUAACAAGGUUUCCGUAGGUGAACCUGCGGAAGGAUCAUUUCUGGUUUAUUCAAACAAACUUGCGAGUUUGAGGACUCGCGGGUAGCUAACAAAAACAUCUAUUUGAACACGGCAAUGUCUGAAUUGGAUUUAUAAAUAAUACACAACUUUCAACAACGGAUCUCUAGGCUCUU